GGGGGCGAAAGGACUCGACCGGACUGCGUGAAGUUCAGGUUGCGUGUUCAGGACACCGGUUGGCCUGGUUAAUCAUUCCGGUAAAAAAUUUAAAUGCUAACACACAGUUACGCAUGGCGGCCUAAUAUGGCCACCCGUCAAUAUCGCGAUGUCUGCUAGUGAUAUUUGGCGCCGAUAGCAGGCUGGUCAGCCAGAUUGUCUGGUUCGAAGCUGAUGAGAAAUAUACCGGGCUGGUCAAUGUUGGAUCCUGUCGAUUGGAGCCUUCGGCGAUGAGAAAUAAAUGAUCGAAUACACACGUAGAUGCCUGUCCGGAUCCGUCACGGGACGGGGGUUCGAUUCCCCCCGCCUCCAGUA
rnacentral:tmRNA from 1 species